GACUGAAUGGCUCAGUUGGUUGAGUGUCUGACUUUGGUUCAGGUCAUGAUCUCAUAUCCAUGGGUUCAAGUCCCGCAUCAGGCU
rnacentral:tRNA from 1 species